rnacentral:sRNA from 1 species
GUCGACGUACUUCAAGGAUCAGCCACUGAAUCCAA